UGGUUCUGGCAUCGAUGAAGAACGCAGCGAAAUGCGAUAAGUAAUGUGAAUUGCAGAAUUCAGUGAAUCAUCGAAUCUUUGAACGCACAUUGCGCCCAUUAGUAUUCUAGUGGGCAUGCCUGUUCGAGCGUCAUUACGACCUUUAAGCCUAGUUGCUUAGCGUUGGGAGCAUUACCGUCUGGUAACUCCUCAAAGUCAGUGGCAGGGUUACGGUACACUGUAAGCGUAGUAGAUUUUAUUCUCGCUUGUUGGUUGUCGUAGCUAUCGCCAUAAACCUCUAUUUUUUCUAGUGGUUGACCUCGGAUCAGGUAGGAAUACCCGCUGA
rnacentral:misc_RNA from 1 species